rnacentral:lncRNA from 1 species
GGGGGUCCUCAAGGUCCCCAUGGGGGUCCCCGACCUCCGUGUCCUCUCCUUCUUCCUCUAAGGGGUCCCCAAGGUCCAUAGAGGGUCUUCAAAGGGGUCCCACCACCCCCUCAAGGUCCUCCUGGGGGUCCCGAAGGUCCUCAAAGGGGUCCCCAAGGUCACUAUGGGGGUCCUCAAGGUCCCCACGGGGGUUUCCCGCCGCCACAUCUGCGCUUCCUUGCUCUAAGAGGUCCCCAAGGCCCAUAGAGGGUCUCCAAAGGGGUCUCACCACCCCCUCAAGGUCCUCCUGGGGGUCCCCAAGGUCCCCAAAGGGGUCCCCAAGGUCACUAUGGGGGUCCUCAAGGUCCCCAUGGGAGUCCCCCACCUCCAUAUCUGCAUUUUCUUCCACCAAGGGGCCCCCCAGGCCCACAGGGGGUCUCCAAAGGGGUCUCACCGCCUCCCCAAGGUCCUCCUGGGGGUCCAGAAGGUCCCCACGGGGGCGCCCCACUUCUGUGUCCUCAUCUUAGGGGGUCCCCAACAACCACGGGGGAUCCCCAACGCCCAUAGCAGGGUCUUCAAAGGGGUCCUGCCACCACCCCAAGGUCCUCCGGGGGGUCCAAAAGGUCCCUAGAGGGGUCCCCAUGGUGGCCCCCCGGCUCCAUGUCCAAAUCUUCCUCACCCGGGGGGGGGGUCCCCAACACCCAUGAGGGGUCCCCGAGGUCCACGGAGGGUCUCCAAAGGGAUCUCACCACCUCCCCAAUGUCUUCACAGAGGUCCUGAAGGUCCCCAACGGGGUCCCCAAGGUCACUAUGGGGGGUCCAGAAGGUCUCCAUGAGGGUCCCCCACCUCCAUGUCCUCAACUUCUUCCUCUUAGGGGUCCCCAAAGUCCAUGGGGGGGGGGUGGGGGGGUCUUCAAAGGGGUCCUGCCACCUCACCAAGGUCCUCCGAGGUGUCCCCAAGGUCCCCCAAGGCGCCCCCCCCCAGCUCGCUACGGGGGGGCUCCCACCUCCAUGUCCUCGUCUUCUUCUUCUAAGGGGUCCCCGACACCCCCGGGGACAUUCCCGAAGGGGUCCUCCCCCUCCCCAAGCUUCUCCAGAGGGUCCCCGAGGUCCUCCAGGGGGUCCCCGAGGUCCUCCAGGGGGUCCUCCAGGGGGUCCUCCAGAGGGUCCCCAAGGUCAAGAGGGUCCCCGAGGUCCUCCAGGGGGUCCUCGAGGUCCUCCGGAGGGUCCUCCAGGGGGUCCUCCAGGAGAUGGUUGGGGAUGGGGGCUGGAGGACCUCGGGGACCUUGGAGGACAAGGAGAUGGUUGGGGACGGGGGCUGGAGGACCUCGGGGACCUUGGAGGACAAGGAGAUGGUUGGGGACGGGGGCUGGAGGACCUUGGGGACGUUGGAGGACAAGGAGAUGGUUGGGGAUGGGGGCUGGAGGACCCCGGGGAUGUUGGAGGACACGGGGACACCUGGGGAUGGGGGCUGGAGGACCUCGGGGACGUUGGAGGACAUGGGGACACCUGGGGACGAGGGCUGGAGGACCUUGGGGACGCUGGGGGACAAGACGAUGGUUGGGGACAGGGGCUGGAGGACCUCGGGGACACUGGGGGACAAGACGAUGGUUGGGGACAGGGGCUGGAGGACCUUGGGGACACUGGGGGACAAGACGAUGGUUGGGGACAGGGGCUGGAGGACCUCGGGGACGUUGGAGGACAAGACGAUGGUUGGGGAUAGGGGAUGGAGGACCCUGAAGAUACCUGGGGACAAGACGAUGGUUGGGGAUGGGGGUUGGAGGACCUUGAGGACACCUGGGGACAAGACGAUGGUUCAGGAUGGGGGUUGGAGGACCUUGAGGAUGUUGGAGGACAAGACGAUGGUUGAGGAUGGGAGUUGAAGGACCUUGAGGACACCUGGGGACACAGGGACACGUGGGGAUGGG